CAUCCAGAGAACUUGGCAGAGAUGCCUUGGUGCCUUCGGGACCUCUGAGACAGGUGCUGCAUGGCUGUCGUCAGCUCGUGUUGUGAAAUGUUGGGUUAAGUCCCGNAACGAGCGCAACCCCUAUCCUUUGUUGCCAGCGAUUCGGUCGGGAACUCAAAGGAGACUGCCGGUGAUAAACCGGAGGAAGGUGGGGAUGACGUCAAGUCAUCAUGGCCCUUACGAGUAGGGCUACACACGUGCUACAAUGGCGCAUACAAAGAGAAGCGACCUCGCGAGAGCAAGCGGACCUCAUAAAGUGCGUCGUAGUCCGGAUCGGAGUCUGCAACUCGACUCCGUGAAGUCGGAAUCGCUAGUAAUCGUAGAUCAGAAUGCUACGGUGAAUACGUUCCCGGGCCUUGUACACACCGCCCGUCACACCAUGGGAGUGGGUUGCAAAAGAAGUGGAUAGCUUAACCUUCGGGAGGGCGUUUACCACUUUGUGAUUCAUGACUGGGGUGAAGUCGUAACAAGGUAGGCGUAGCGAG
rnacentral:rRNA from 1 species